rnacentral:rRNA from 1 species
UAUGAACGCUAGCGGCAGGCUUAACACAUGCAAGUCGAGGGGCAGCACGUCUUCGGAUGGUGGCGACCGGCGCACGGGUGAGUAACGCGUAUGCAAUCUACCUUUUACAGGGGCAUAGCCCGGGGAAACCCGGAUUAAUAUCCUAUAGUACCAUUAUAUAGCAUUAUAUUAUGGUUAAAGUUCCGGCGGUAAAAGAUGAGCAUGCGUCCUAUUAGCUUGAUGGUAAGGUAACGGCUUACCAUGGCUAUGAUAGGUAGGGGUCCUGAGAGGGAGACCCCCCACACUGGUACUGAGACACGGACCAGACUCCUACGGGAGGCAGCAGUGAGGAAUAUUGGACAAUGGGCGCAAGCCUGAUCCAGCCAUGCCGCGUGCAGGAAGACGGCCCUAUGGGUUGUAAACUGCUUUUAUACGGGAAGAAACACCCCUUCGUGAAGGGACUUGACGGUACCGUAUGAAUAAGGAUCGGCUAACUCCGUGCCAGCAGCCGCGGUAAUACGGAGGAUACCG